UCUUAAAACCAGAAGUCACUUAACCUAGUUAUUUACAUAACUACUCACAUAACAAAUAUACAUAAAACCAAUUAAUAAUUUAGAUAAUCAGUGAGUUACCAAACAAAAUAAUAAAACAACAUAAGAGUCUGAUGUAAAAGUCUAUAGGUGAUUGAUGAUGAUUCAUUCAGUUGAUCAUGAAAAAUUAUUUACUGAGUAUUUACACCAUACCAUACCAGUUCUGAUAUAAAGGAAUUAAAUUCUAGGAGAGGAAGAAGGAAGACAUAUACAUAAUUAUAAAACUAGGUGGUAUAAAGUCAAUUCAGCCUUGAAUAAAUCCUCUUGUAAAUUUAUACUACUGUCAUUCCAACUUGAAAAUAUGUUUUUAAUUUAUGUCAGGAUGCCCAUGAAGGGAAGUUUAUCAAA